UGAAUUAACUUCUUUUCAUUGAGCUUAAGGGCCAUGACAAUAGCCACAGUGUAUUCUUUCUGAUGCAGUUUUUUGCGUAUAUUGCUGGGUGUAACAUCAAUAUCCAACUCAAAAGGAUCAAAAAUUAGCCCAGCAUCCAGUGAAUAGAUAAGAAGACCCUCAGUGGUGGUAGCUGCCCAGCUUCGUCCUGUAGGAGAGAAUCGCAGGCAGGUUACUCUUAUUUCUGGCUUGAAGUGUCGAGAACUCAUGUCACCUCUUUUUACUCCAGGAAGAGGGAUAGCAACACCAUCUUCA
rnacentral:lncRNA from 1 species